AUCAUCAUCAUUAACAAUCGGUAUCUUACCACAAUACUUGAAAAUUCAAAUCAUUCAACCAUGGCCAAGAUUAGUAUGUUCCUCAGUUUCGUCUUAUUCGCCUUGAUUGCCAUGCCAACCUCUUCUUCUGCAAGCAGGGUGUUACUCCAGGAGGUUCAGGAACUGGCACCUUUCUGCCCAGAAUAUGACCCAAGAUUGCGAUGCGCUACCCCAUGGGAUCCAGAAUUUACAUGCCCAGCAGGUCAGCGUCCGUGCAGGAGCAACUGUGGCAGAUCAAGAUGCCUCCCAAGUUAUUAACUAGCUGAAGUACGCUGAUUGGAUCACGUUUCAUACAUAUAAUCAUUACACUAUAUAUACCGUUAUAAUUGUUGUUUGUGUGUGGAUGGUAUUGUGUUUUCUUCUCUUAAUUUGAUGUAGCUUACUCGCUAUGUCAUAUUCGUAUGUACCCAUGUUUGUAUUCUAUCUCUUCCAUAAAUUUGAAGUGGCUUGCUUGUGUGUUGUAUUAAGAGUUGUAUGUAUUUGAUAAUAACUAGAUUUUGUGCCCGGGCGUUUUUCUGUUAA